GACGAAGGGGGCUAGCGUUGUUCGGAAUUACUGGGCGUAAAGCGAGUGUAGGUGGUUGUCCAAGUUGGAUGUGAAAGCCUUGAGCUCAACUCAAGAAAUGCAUUCAGGACUGGGCGGCUAGAGGACCGGAGAGGAUAGUGGAAUUCCCAGUGUAGUGGUGAAAAUACGUAGAGAUUGGGAAAGAACACCAGUGGCGAAGGCGGCUAUCUGGACGGUUUCUGACACUAAGACUCGAAAGCGUGGGGAGCAAAC
rnacentral:rRNA from 1 species